rnacentral:rRNA from 1 species
GACAGAGGGUGCAAACGUUGUUCGGAAUUACUGGGCGUAAAGCGAGUGUAGGCGGUUUGGUAAGUCGGAUGUGAAAGCCCCGGGCUCAACCCGGGAAGUGCACUCGAUACUGCCAAGCUAGAGUAUCGGAGAGGUUGGUGGAAUUCUCGGUGUAGAGGUGAAAUUCGUAGAUAUCUGGAGGAACACCGGUGGCGAAGGCGGCAUCCUGGACCAACACUGACGCUGAGUGAGCGAAAGCCAGGGGAGCAAACGGG